GAAAUGCGACAAGUAAUGUGAAUUGCAGAAUUCAGUGAAUCAUCGAAUCUUUGAACGCACAUUGCGCCCGCCAGUAUUCUGGCGGGCAUGCCUGUUCGAGCGUCAUUUCAACCAUCAAGCCCCCGGCUUGUGUUGGGGACCUGCGGCUGCCCGCAGGCCCUGAAAAACAGUGGCGGGCUCGCUGUCACACCGAGCGUAGUAGCAUACAUUCUCGCUCAGGGCGUGCUGCGGGUUCCGGCCGUUAAACGACCUUCAUAACCCAAGGUUGACCUCGGAUCAGGUAGGAAGACCCGCUGAACUUAAGC
rnacentral:misc_RNA from 1 species